rnacentral:sRNA from 1 species
GAACGAAAGGGGGCGCGUUUUAAGCAUGCAAGUCGAACGGCAGCACGGGUAGCAAUACCUGUGUGAGAGUGGCGAGCGGGUGAGUAACACGUAGGUGAUCUACCUCUGGGUGGGGGAUAGCCCGUGGAAACACGGAGUAAUACCGCAUGAGGCCUUGUGGGUAAAGCCAUGAGGUGAAAGGUGCAAUUGCACCGUCUGGGGAUGAGCCUGCGGUCCAUUAGGUAGUUGGCGGGGUAAAGGCGGAACAAGCCGACGAUGGAUAGCCGGCCUGAGAGGGUGUACGGCCACUCCUUAACUGANAGAAGGUCCAGACUCCUACCUCCAUAAGGCU